GAGGUCAGUCAUGUCUCCAAGUUCUCCUGGAGUAGUUUCUACUAUUUAAUAAGCAGGCCUAGGAAAGACUAUCCACCAUUACUGCGAUUUGUUGUCUGAAACAGUGAAUGAAGAUGGCAUCUCCCGCCUGUAUGAAGCUUUUCAAGAAGUGCCUUUGAAAUCUGACAGGACCAGAAGGUACAUCCUCAAUAGACAUUACAAAUGGUUGCAGAAACUUGGAAAUCUCGUGUCAGGUUCUGCAUUCGACUAGGGAACCAGGACCAACACAGAAGACCUCUUCAUCCUGCUAUGGUCCUUUUCUGCAGAACUGCUGCCUAGCCACUCAACAGGUGCACUUCUGAACUGUGGGUCUGCACUGACCAGGGACAACAACUAUGAGGUGGGAUGUUAAGGGUGGGGUAUACUACAGGAACUUUGGAGUUGGACUCAAGAACCUGAAGCAAAAGACACUGCCCAGCGUACACUGGGAAGGGUGUUUUGCUCGUGCUUUUAUGUCUAUGGAUACCGCUUGACUGUUUUCUCAGAUUACUGCUAGGUUACUUUUAUUAAAGAAACUCUACCUCGGACUCUGUGCUUGCGAGAGGGGAAGAAUUGCCUCUUAGAGGCAUCCAGGCGUUACAGUGAAAUUUCCCCAGGUUCCCGGGUGGGGGCUUGAGCCGGUUCUGGUUGCAUUGUUGAAAAGGAACCCCCUAGGUGUUGAACCUGCCCUUCUCGCUGCCCACUUCAACUGGCAGAAGGGUUACAGACUGAACAGAACAGAACAUGGGGGAGCAGCAACACCCGGCUGCUAACAGGGCAGUUGGCCAGACCUUGACUGACCAGGUUAAACUCCCAACUGCUCAUUAAAUACUGAUAUAAAAUCCUCUGCAGACUGUGCCCCAUUUCCCCCAAAUUAUCAAAUAAUGAACCCAACGCAGGUCUCUCAAGCACCAACUGUGAAUCACCUGCCCCUCCCCUACUGCUCCCCCCCAGCUGAACAAGGGACCUUCUAACUCUAUCCCUGUUCCUGCCCCCUCUUAACAUGCCAUUGCCCAGCACUCCCCACUGUCCAUGUCAAUGGCAAAAUCUGAGGAGGUUUUAUGUUAAUAUUUAAUAAUUAGAUGGAGAAAUGUAAAAUCUAAGGCCCGGGCAGUUGUGUCCCUCCAAAACAGGGAGGAGUUGCUGUUGUUCUAAUGACUGGGGGGUACCCAAAGGGAUUUCACCGCAAUCUGUCAUCAUUAGGAAGAAAAUGGAGCAAAGUCUGAAUAUUUGAUAACAGGAGAGAAGUGUGGCAAGAUCUCUUGGGGAAGGAGCAUCAAUAUUCAACAAUCAGACAGUAAAAGGCAAAAUCUGAGGGGAAAUCAAAUCAAAAUUAAUUAAAUAACUGGAAAGUGCUGAUUCCCCUGGCCCUGCCUUUGACACAGGCAGCAGGGAGCCAUGGGG